GACGUUUCGAUCAUGGCUCAGAUUGAACGCUGGCGGUAUGCUUAACACAUGCAAGUCGAACGGUAACAGGCCUUCGGGCGCUGACGAGUGGCGGACGGGUGAGUAACGCGUAGGAAUCUGCCUCAUAGUGGGGGACAACGUGGGGAAACUCACGCUAAUACCGCAUACGCCCUACGGGGGAAAGGAGGGGAUCUUCGGACCUUUCGCUAUGAGAUGAGCCUGCGUUAGAUUAGCUAGUUGGUAGGGUAAAGGCCUACCAAGGCGACGAUCUAUAGCUGGUCUGAGAGGACGAUCAGCCACACUGGGACUGAGACACGGCCCAGACUCCUACGGGAGGCAGCAGUGGGGAAUAUUGGACAAUGGGCGAAAGCCUGAUCCAGCAAUACCGCGUGUGUGAAGAAGGCCUUAGGGUUGUAAAGCACUUUCAAUUGGGAGGAAAACCUGCCGGUCAAUACCCGGUAGCUUGACAUUACCUUUAGAAGAAGCACCGGCUAACUCCGUGCCAGCAGCCGCGGUAAUACGGAGGGUGCGAGCGUUAAUCGGAAUUACUGGGCGUAAAGCGUGCGUAGGCGGUUCGUUAAGUCAGAUGUGAAAGCCCUGGGCUCAACCUGGGAACUGCAUUUGAAACUGGCGGACUAGAGUUUAGUAGAGGGGAGUGGAAUUUCAGGUGUAGCGGUGAAAUGCGUAGAUAUCUGAAGGAACACCAGUGGCGAAGGCGACUCCCUGGACUAGAACUGACGCUGAGGUACGAAAGCGUGGGUAGCAAACAGGAUUAGAUACCCUGGUAGUCCACGCCGUAAACGAUGUCGACUAGCCGUUGGCCCUAUUUACAGGGUUAGUGGCGCAGCUAACGCAUUAAGUCGACCGCCUGG
rnacentral:rRNA from 1 species